AGAAAGACUCUUAUUUUGACGAGCCUCCUCUUCCUGCUUUGGCUUCUGGUGUCCGCUUCAGAUGUGUGCUUGGAUUUGUGAUGGAUGUGAUGCUCCAGAAUCGCAGCGGUGAUGUUUGAGGAUCCGGAAGAUGAUGUGCAGUUCGUGUCUGAGGCUCCUCUCAGACCAGUGCUGGAAUGCAUUGACCUGCUGAGUGACGGAGAUGAUGAAGACGAUUUACCUGCUGCAAACACGAUCGAGCAGCAGGUGGACCGCCAGAGAGCUCAUGCCGUCUCCACACUGGACAGACUGGCUCAGCAGGUCGCGGUGGAGAAACAGGAGAGGGCCGAAAAGAGGAAAGCCUUCAAGGAGAAGAUGAUUUCGCUGCAGGCACAAGGACGCCGCGAGCUGUCGGUCAGCCAUGAUAAUAGUGCAAGCGGCGAUGCCAAACGAUGUGUGGAUAUUUGGCUAAAAAUGCCAGGACUGCAGCCGGGCUCCAUUUAUUCAGGCUCUCUGUGGAAGCGCAGAUCGGCUCCUCCUGCGGUGAGAUUUUCUCCUCAGAGCUGUCCGGUCAUCAACUGCGGACGAGUCUACGACAAUAUUCCUCUGCUUCAGGGACAUCUCAAAAGGUUUGAUCAUUCACCCUGUGACCCCACCAUCACCCUGAAAGGCACCGCACCAUCCAUCUAUGCCUGUUUGGCCUGUGGAGAACACUUCUGCUCCCAGGAGACAUGGAAACAACACAUGCAGUCCAAGCUGUCAUCGGAUGGUCACCGUCGCUCUCAGAUGUAUCAGAUGAUCGUGGGCUUCGCCUGUCCCUCCUGCUACUUCCUCUUCAACAGCAAAGACGAGUGCUGUAAACACAUGAACGCAAGAAAACACAACCGUCAAGUCAUUUCUCUUACCGAAGAGAAAGCAUCAGCAGUGCCUGUUCCUGUGCCGCGCUUCGCUAAACAGCGUCUAAUCGCUCUCUGUAAAGACAUCGGCUUCAGCGUGCGAUGCACAGUCUGCUCUCAGCGGCUCAACUCGCACAUGGAGGCCACCGCACACUUCAACGUGCACUGCAGAGACGGCUGCGCUAUCGCUACCGCAGAUCAAACCGUUGCAGACAUGAUGAAAAAGAUGGCGGUCGUCGGUCACUGCAUUUCCUGUCCUGAAGUGUUUCUGAGUUUGGAUCAAAUGCAGGAGCACAAAGAGCGAAUGAAACACGACGUGGAGAACAUCACACUCCUAGAGCGCGCACUUUUGCACUACAGCAACCACUGCGAAACCAGAACCAAUCAGAAGAGAGCGUCAAACGAAGACCAUUCAGCCAAACGAAAGAGAGCUGAAGACUCGGAUUCGCAAGUCAAACGAGAAAGAAAGCAUUCGAAUGUGGCUUGGUUUUGCGAGUGCGGCCUUCGCUUCGUUGAAGAAAACCACGCAAAGAGACACCAGCAAGCCGCCAAUCAGAUCUUUCACAAAUGUGCAGUGUGCGGGAAACUAACCGGCGAAUCCUCCAUCGCGCGCUUGCAUAUGAGUCGUUUCCAUGGUGGCGCGCAUCUAUCCAACUUCCUGUUUUACUGUAGGAAGUGCAAAGUGGAAAUGCCCAGGAUGGAGGAUAUAAUGGCGCACGUUAGCGCUAGCCAUCAAGGACACAACUACUAUGAAGAACGAGAAGAUAGCGGCAGCGUAAUUGAUCAAAUAUCGGCAAAACCAUCAACCAGCAAAGAAUGUGAACCAAUCAGAAGCGUCUCCCCAAAAAAGACAGAGUCGUGGCUUUGUCGAAUGUGCGAGGAUUUGUUUGAUUCGGAGAAGUUGGUACGAAAGCAUUGCGGAGAUUUGAGCAGCCAUAGUUUCCAGAGGUUUGCAUGCGGUCACUGUCCGCAGAAGUUCUUCAAGGACUCGACUCUACGACGACAUUGCGCUAACGAGCAUAACGGUGAUGUAGCGUUGCGCUACUUUUGUGGGCUUUGCGAUAGCAUGCUGUUCGAUACCGAAAACGAGUUCCAGGUGCACUACGACAAUCUGCACAGCCAAGAUUACUACCGUUUGGAAACAUCGACAAAUCAUUCGCAAAAUGCACCGGAAGUCAUUGUUAAUAAUAGUAACACGAGCGAUUCCCAAACAUGUCUUUGCAUGGGAUCAAAGAAAUCCAGAGAGGAACGGAAGCCUGUUUAUACAAACUGCAUGAAGCAGUUGGCUGCUGAAAACAAAUGCAGAUACCGAUGUCGCAAUUGCGCUAAAAGCGCUCAGAGCUACGCUGAGAUGAAGACGCACAUCUUGUUGAAACACAAAGGAAAUGGGAAGAGUUUUGAUGUCGUGUGCAUGAUCUGCUCUCAGAGUCACAAAGAUGUUCCCAGUUUUCAUGCACACCAUCAUAUACAUCACUGCCAGGCAGAACCGUGCACUUAUUCCCGACCCGAUGCAGAGGAGAAACGAGCCUCCGGUGUGAACGAUGCAGAGGAGAAACGAGCCUCCGGUGUGAUCAACGCAGAGGAGAAACGAGCCUCCGGUGUGAUCAACGCAGAGGAGAAACGAGUUUCCAGUGUGAUGAACGCAGAGGAGAAACGAGCCUCCAGUGUGAUGAACGCAGAGGAGAAACGAGCCUCUAGUGUGAUGAACGCAGAGGAGAAACGAGCCUCUAGUGUGAUCAACGCAGAGGAGAUCUUCCCUCAGAGUAACGUUGAAGAGGCUGAAGAUGUAAAUAAUGCCAUUGCCUCAGGUGUUCUCGAUGUUAAAAAAGAGACCACCGUUUCACAAGACGAUGGUGAAGGAGAUGACGCUAAAUUUGACGAGGACAUGAAGCAGGCUGUGGCCUUGAGUCUGAAGGAGGCCAGGAAAACUGCAGAUCUGAGAACGGUGUAGAGGCUGUACUGAGAGUUUCUGUGAGCGUCUCACUUCAUGCAUGAGUCAAUCUGAGCUUUAUUUUGCUAGUUUGUGUAGCAGAAAGAAGAUUAGUGGUGUUGAAUUGGAAGAAGCCCUGAGAAGAAGCUUGGAGGAAUUCUGACAACAUUAUGAUUUAGAUUCAAGGUGUUUUGUUUGUUCGUUUAGUCCGUGCACUGUAUUCACGAAACAUUUUAUUUGUUGUUCUUCAAAGUUAAAUAAAGCAGAGUAACUCAGACCUGU